rnacentral:rRNA from 1 species
UUCUAAGGCGCUUGAGAGAACUCGGGAGAAGGAACUCGGCAAAUUGGUACCGUAACUUCGGGAUAAGGUACGCCCUUGUAGCUUGACUGGCCUGCGCCAGGAGGGUGAAGGGGUUGCAAUAAACUGGUGGCUGCGACUGUUUAAUAAAAACACAGCACUCUGCAAACACGAAAGUGGACGUAUAGGGUGUGACGCCUGCCCGGUGCCGGAAGAUUAAAUGAUGGGGUGCAAGCUCUUGAUUGAAGUCCCGGUAAACGGCGGCCGUAACUAUAACGGUCCUAAGGUAGCGAAAUUCCUUGUCGGGUAAGUUCCGACCUGCACGAAUGGCGUAACGAUGGCCACACUGUCUCCUCCCGAGACUCAGCGAAGUUGAAGUGUUUGUGAUGAUGCAAUCUACCCGCGGCUAGACGGAAAGACCCCAUGAACCUUUACUGUAGCUUUGCAUUGGACUUUGAACCGAUCUGUGUAGGAUAGGUGGGAGGCUAUGAAACCGGAACGCCAGUUUCGGUGGAGCCGUCCUUGAAAUACCACCCUGGUUUGUUUGAGGUUCUAACCUUGGCCCGUGAUCCGGGUCGGGGACAGUGCAUGGUAGGCAGUUUGACUGGGGCGGUCUCCUCCCAAAGCGUAACGGAGGAGUACGAAGGUACGCUAGGUACGGUCGGAAAUCGUGCUGAUAGUGCAAUGGCAUAAGCGUGCUUAACUGCGAGACCGACAAGUCGAGCAGGUGCGAAAGCAGGUCAUAGUGAUCCGGUGGUUCUGUAUGGAAGGGCCAUCGCUCAACGGAUAAAAGGUACUCUGGGGAUAACAGGCUGAUACCGCCCAAGAGUUCAUAUCGACGGCGGUGUUUGGCACCUCGAUGUCGGCUCAUCUCAUCCUGGGGCUGUAGCCGGUCCCAAGGGUAUGGCUGUUCGCCAUUUAAAGAGGUACGUGAGCUGGGUUUAAAACGUCGUGAGACAGUUUGGUCCCUAUCUGCCGUGGGCGUUGGAUAUUUGAAGGGGGCUGCUCCUAGUACGAGAGGACCGGAGUGGACGAACCUCUGGUGUACCGGUUGUGACGCCAGUCGCAUCGCCGGGUAGCUAUGUUCGGAAGAGAUAACCGCUGAAAGCAUCUAAGCGGGAAACUCGCCUUAAGAUGAGAUAUCCCUGGAGGCUUGACCUCCUUGAAGGGUCGUUCGAGACCAGGACGUUGAUAGGUCGGGUGUGUAAGCGCAGUAAUGCGUUCAGCUAACCGAUACUAAUUGCCCGUAAGGCUUGAUCCUAUAACA